rnacentral:rRNA from 1 species
GAUGAACGCUGGCGGCGUGCCUAAUACAUGCAAGUCGAGCGAACGGACGAGAAGCUUGCUUCUCUGAUGUUAGCGGCGGACGGGUGAGUAACACGUGGAUAACCUACCUAUAAGACUGGGAUAACUUCGGGAAACCGUAGCUAAUACCGGAUAAUAUUUUGAACCGCAUGGUUCAAAAGUGAAAGACGGUCUUGCUGUCACUUAUAGAUGAACCGCGCUGCAUUAGCUAGUUGGUAAGGUAACGGCUUACCAAGGCAACGAUGCAUAGCCGACCUGAGAGGGUGAUCGGCCACACUGGAACUGAGACACGGUCCAGACUCCUACGGGAGGCAGCAGUAGGGAAUCUUCCGCAAUGGGCGAAAGCCUGACGGAGCAACGCCGCGUGAGUGAUGAAGGUCUUCGGAUCGUAAAACUCUGUUAUUAGGGAAGAACAUAUGUGUAAGUAACUGUGCACAUCUUGACGGUACCUAAUCAGAAAGCCACGGCUAACUACGUG